rnacentral:rRNA from 1 species
AUGAUAUCCAAAGGUUUAGGCUGGGAGAAUCAUGAGGUUGAAUAUGCUCCAAUGCCUCUUGGAUAUCUUGAAUGGGGUACUAAUGUCUUGAAGAAAUAUCAUACCCACCUGAAGGGGAGUGAAGAAGGUGUGGAUUACGUCUAUGGAGCCAUUUAUUGCUCUUUAGGUGACUAUCCUGUCUCCCCUCCUCUUUUAAGGUCUUUAUUGGAGAAAUGGGAUCCCAACACCAACACGUUUUUGUGCUCAUGUGGCGAGUGUACAGUCACACUUCUUGAUAUGCAUCAGAUUGCGGGGUUGCCCCUUGAUGGUGAACCUUAUGAAGAAUAUGUUCCCCAAGCCGAUGAGCUGGAUCCUUCGACUCUUUUGUACCCCAACUUCCUACCUCGGCUCCUAGAAACUUGGACCAAGCUUGCUGUGGGUGGCAAACACAAUAUCAGGCCUCGCCCAUUGUCUGAUAAAGAUUUUAUGGUGGUGAGGAGAGUAUCUAUUGAGCAGCGCGACCGACAUGUUCAGUCCCUUGAGAAGGCAGAGACACCUAUUACAGAUCAAUGGAGACUGAUCCUUUAUAAUAAUUUAAAUGAUGUUGUUGCUGCUCAACCGGUGAAGUCUAAAGAGCUACGGCGAGGUAAUGUACUGAAGCAGAAUGCCAUAUAUGGGUCCUCCUCCACGCAUCCACUAUCUAUGAAUGAUGAUCUCUCAUACACUACCCCAUCCGGUAGCGGAAAAAGAUGCAGACCCUCUACACCGGCUCACGUGGACGAGGAAGAAGGGCUGCCCUUGAAGCCCAAACUUGAUUUUGCCCAAGAAUCCAAUUUUUCUGAACCAAUAACAUUGGACGAUCCAUCAUUAGAUGUUGAACUCAGUUACCUUGUUAAUGAUGAAGAUUUUGGCCAUGUUCUCAUGGGAGAAAAGGAUCAUGGCCUUGGUGACCUCUUCAAUUUAUCCGUCGAGGAUUAUACCAUUGGUUGCGAACAAGAAAUUCGCCACUCACAAGACCCUGAGGUGAUGGUUGUAUCAGGGAAAGAUGCACAGAUGGACUGCAGUUUCGUCAAGGACACGUUUAUGGAUGCUACAGAUUUCAUGGUGAAACGAGCCCGCGAAGGACUGAACAACUCUACCCUCGGUGAUCCCAAGCGAAUCAUCAUGCUUGAGAGCGUUUCUCAGACGCUGCCCACGCAAGUGCCUAAGGUAGCUAAGGUGCAUGCCAUGUUGGUCGGGCUUAUUAACCUUUUCAAGAAGUUGGAGGUUGGCCAGACUAAAUUCAUGGAGGAAUCUGAGCGAGAUGAGCAUGUUGUUGCUGAAGUAGGACUUAAGAUUAAGUCUGGCCAUGAGGUUUCCAAGGCCAUAAUUGAGGACUUAUCUGCCGUAGAAAAGAAGUGCACUGAAAUGGAGGCACGGGAAGCAGAGCUUAGCUUGAAGAGGUUACUAUUACUUUGCACAAGCUUAAACUGGAAAUGGAACAACGCCGGCAAGCACAUGAUGCCCAUCAAUCUGAACAGAAGAACUUGGUGA